CUGAGCGUUGGUGACAGACUGAGAGAGAAGGAAUAAACCACAGCAUUGUGUUUUAAAGCAACCCAGUGGAACAAAAGGAUCUACCAAUACUGGCGAAGUCUCUUCUGUGAACUGCACAACAGAAGCUGCUGUCCCAGCUCACUGUUGCUCCUUCCCACUGGCAAACAGCCUAAGGAGGAGCUGUUCAUAGGUUGUGCCUGCGUAAUGUUGGAGGUGAAGUCCACACUCAUCCUCUUUGCCUUUCCUGCUGGGGACAAGUACAGCGUGGUCGUUCAGGACUGAACA